rnacentral:rRNA from 1 species
AGAGUUUGAUCCUGGCUCAGGACGAACGCUGGCGGCGUGCCUAAUACAUGCAAGUCGAGCGAGCUUGCCUAGAUGAUUUUAGUGCUUGCACUAAAUGAAACUAGAUACAAGCGAGCGGCGGACGGGUGAGUAACACGUGGGUAACCUGCCCAAGAGACUGGGAUAACACCUGGAAACAGAUGCUAAUACCGGAUAACAACACUAGACGCAUGUCUAGAGCAUGAAAGAUGGUUCUGCUAUCACUCUUGGAUGGACCUGCGGUGCAUUAUCUAGUUGGUAAGGUAACGGCUUACCAAGGCAAUGAUGCAUAGUCGAGUUGAGAGACUGAUCGGCCUCUUUGGGACUGAUACACGGCCCAAACUCCUAUCGGGAGGCUCCAUUUUGGUUUCUUCCACCAAUGGACUAAAGGUCUGAUGGAGCAACGCCGCGUGAGUGAAGUAGGAUUUGAAACUAGUAAAGAUCUGUUGGUAGUGAAGAAAGAUAGAGGUAGUAACUGGCCUUUAUUUGACGGUAAUUACUUAGAAAGUCACGGCUAACUACGUGCCAGCAGCCGCGGUAAUACGUAGGUGGCAAGCGUUGUCCGGAUUUAUUGGGCGUAAAGCGAGUGCAGGCGGUUCAAUAAGUCUGAUGUGAAAGCCUUCGGCUCAACCGGAGAAUUGCAUCAGAAACUGUUGAACUUGAGUGCAGAAGAGGAGAGUGGAACUCCAUGUGUAGCGGUGGAAUGCGUAGAUAUAUGGAAGAACACCAGUGGCGAAGGCGGCUCUCUGGUCUGCAACUGACGCUGAGGCUCGAAAGCAUGGGUAGCGAACAGGAUUAGAUACCCUGGUAGUCCAUGCCGUAAACGAUGAGUGCUAAGUGUUGGGAGGUUUCCGCCUCUCAGUGCUGCAGCUAACGCAUUAAGCACUCCGCCUGGGGAGUACGACCGCAAGGUUGAAACUCAAAGGAAUUGACGGGGGCCCGCACAAGCGGUGGAGCAUGUGGUUUAAUUCGAAGCAACGCGAAGAACCUUACCAGGUCUUGACAUCCAGUGCAAACCUAAGAGAUUAGGUGUUCCCUUCGGGGACGCUGAGACAGGUGGUGCAUGGCUGUCGUCAGCUCGUGUCGUGAGAUGUUGGGUUAAGUCCCGCAACGAGCGCAACCCUUGUCAUUAGUUGCCAUCAUUAAGUUGGGCACUCUAAUGAGACUGCCGGUGACAAACCGGAGGAAGGUGGGGAUGACGUCAAGUCAUCAUGCCCCUUAUGACCUGGGCUACACACGUGCUACAAUGGACGGUACAACGAGAAGCGAACCUGCGAAGGCAAGCGGAUCUCUUAAAGCUGUUCUCAGUUCGGACUGUAGGCUGCAACUCGCCUACACGAAGCUGGAAUCGCUAGUAAUCGCGGAUCAGCACGCCGCGGUGAAUACGUUCCCGGGCCUUGUACUCACCGCCCGUCA